rnacentral:rRNA from 1 species
GACGAACGCUGGCGGCGUGCUUAACACAUGCAAGUCGAACGGAAAGGCCCUGCUUUUGUGGGGUGCUCGAGGGGCGAACGGGUGAGUAACACGUGAGUAACCUGCCCUUGACUUUGGGAUAACUUCAGGAAACUGGGGCUAAUACCGGAUAGGAUCUCCUGCUCCAUGGUGGGGGUGGGAAAUUUUCGGCGGUUGGGGUUGGACUCGCGGCUUAUCAGCUUGUUGGUGGGGUAGUGGCUUACCAAGGGUUUGACGGGUACCCGGCCUGUGUGGGUGAACGGCCACAUUGGGACUGAGAUACGGCCCAGACUCCUACGGGAGGCAACAGUGGGGAAUAUUGCACAACGGGCGGAAGCCUGAUGCAGCAACGCCGCGUGCGGGAUGACGGCCUUCGGGUUGUAAACCGCUUUAGCCUGUGACGCAGCGUGAGUGACGGUAAUGGGUAAAGAAGCACCGGCUAACUACGUG